ensembl:snRNA U5 U5 spliceosomal RNA
UAACUCUGGUUUCUCUUCAAAGCGCAUAAAUCUUUCGCCUUUUACUAAAGAUUUCCGUGCAGAGAAACGCGCAUGAGUAUCAGAUAAUUUUUCUCUUGCCCUGUCUUACGGUGGGGCU